UCGCGGCCUAUCAGCUUGUUGGUGAGGUAACGGCUCACCAAGGCAUCGACGGGUAGCUGGUCUGAGAGGAUGAUCAGCCACACUGGGACUGAGACACGGCCCAGACUCCUACGGGAGGCAGCAGUGGGGAAUAUUGCACAAUGGGCGAAAGCCUGAUGCAGCAACGCCGCGUGCGGGAAGAAGGCCCUAGGGUUGUAAACCGCUUUCAGCAGGGAAGAAAAUGACGGUACCUGCAGAAGAAGGUGCGGCCAACUACGUGCCAGCAGCCGCGGUGACACGUAGGCACCAAGCGUUGUCCGGAUUUAUUGGGCGUAAAGAGCUCGUAGGCGGUUCAGUAAGUCGGGUGUGAAAACUCUGGGCUCAACCCAGAGACGCCACCCGAUACUGCUGUGACUUGAGUACGGUAGGGGAGCGGGGAAUUCCUGGUGUAGCGGUGAAAUGCGCAGAUAUCAGGAGGAACACCAGUGGCGAAGGCGCCGCUCUGGGCCGAAACUGACGCUGAGGAGCGAAAGCGUGGGUAGCAAACAGGAUUAGAUACCCUGGUAGUCCACGCCGUAAACGUUGGGCACUAGGUGUGGGUCUCAACCAACGAGAUCCGCGCCGUCGCUAACGCAUUAAGUGCCCCGCCUGGGGAGUACGG
rnacentral:rRNA from 1 species